GCCUGGCUGGCUCAGUCGGUGGAGCAUGUGAUUCUUGAUCACAGGGUUGUGAGUUCAAGCCCCAUGUUGGGCG
rfam:Ailuropoda melanoleuca scaffold2887_13, whole genome shotgun sequence.